GGUUGGAUCAUUAACAAAUUCAAACCCUUUGUUAAAGGGGUGUGUGAGUGCUAAAGCGAUAAAACGCUUGAAACUCUCUCCCCCUUUUCAAACACCCCUUUGUGAACUGUUUAUCGUCUCUGGUGUGGUUAAAUGUAGACUUUAGAGUUAGUGUGGUGCCAUACCAUCGACUCUUCGUUUAUGGGGAAAAUUCGUUUUCUUCACCCACCGUUAUUAUUUAACUAUUAAUGCUAGUCAAUAUUCGUCUAAUCAAGUUAUAUUUUUAAUUGAAAAAACAACUUUUGACAACGGAUCUCUUGGCUCUCGCAACGAUGAAGAACGCAGCGAAAUGCGAUAAGUAAUGUGAAUUGCAGAAUUCCGUGAAUCAUUAAAUCUUUGAACGCACAUUGCGCUUCCUGGUAUUCCGGGGAGCAUGUCUGUUUGAGAAUCAGUUUAACUCUCAUCCACUAAUAAUUGUGUGUGGGUUGGUUUAACCCCGACCUGUAAUCAUUUUGUUAGUGUCGAUGGACUUGGGCGAUCUUUGAUGGAAGUCUUAACCGAUACGUUCAAAGUAGCCUCAAAAUCAUUACCUGUUUUCUUUUGAUUUCCGCCUUUUCAAGUAACUACCUUGGGGAAUUAUUAGAUGUGGAACUGGAAAGCACGAUUAAUGGAACUGUAAGGUUUCUUUUCGACUGCUGAUAAAGGUUCAUUAGCGUUUAACUCUUUGUGUAGGAAGGAGAUCCCCUCGACGCUCUUGUGGUGUUUUGUGGGUAGAGAACAUGAGGCAGUUAACAAAAACUCCAUACGAACGGGGGCGAUCGCCGCUAGCACACCGUGUGCUAAUGUGCGUGAAGACCUGUUUAAGACUUGAUCUCAAAUCAGACAAGACUACCCGCUGAACUUAAGCAUAUCAAUAAGCGGAGGAAAAGAAACUAACAAGGAUUCCCCUAGUAACGGCGAGUGAAGCGGGAUCAGCUCAAAUUGAAAUCUCACUGAUUUAUCAGUGCGAAUUGUAGUUUAAAGAAGUAUUUUCGAAGGCAAGCCAGGUAAAAGUCCUUUGGAAAAAGGCAUCAUAGAGGGUGAGAAUCCCGUCUUUGAUCUGGACCUUGUCUUCAUGUGAUAUACCUUCAAAGAGUCGGGUUGUUUGGGAAUGCAGCCCAAAAUGGGUGGUAAAUACCAUCUAAAGCUAAAUAUUGGCGAGAGACCGAUAGCGAACAAGUACCGUGAGGGAAAGAUGAAAAGAACUUUGAAAAGAGAGUUAAAUAGUACGUGAAAUUGUCAAAAGGGAAACGCUUGAAACCAGUUUUGCUGGCAGGAACCCAACUACUCAACGAGUAGCAUAUGUUUUUGUUGGCAGGUCAACAUCAGUUUGAUCGGAGUAUAAAGCUCGUGGAAGGUAGCCUCUCGGGGUAUUAUAGCCGCGAGUCAUGCUCUGGUCAGGAUUGAGGUCUGCAGUGUAGUCUUGGGGACCCGUUCGCCAGUUGAAGCUUGGGCCUAGACAACUUGUUGACUAGGUUUGAGAAUUGAGAUUGCACGGGCGGUUUACCACAUCUACGCUUAGGAUGUUGACGAAAUGGUUUCAAACGACCCGUCUUGAAACACGGACCAAGGAGUCUAACACCUAUGCGAGUAUUUGGGUCAUUUAAGCCCGGAAUGCGUAAUGAAAGUGUUAAGGUGGGAUCUUCGGUGCACCAUCGACCGGUCUUGAAAUUUUUGGAUAGAUCUGAGUAAGAGCAUAUUUGUUAGGACCCGAAAGAUGGUGAACUAUGCCUGAAUAGGGUGAAGCCAGAGGAAACUCUGGUGGAGGCUCGUAGCGAUUCUGACGUGCAAAUCGAUCGUCAAAUUUGGGUAUAGGGGCGAAAGACUAUCGAACCAUCUAGUAGCUGGUUCCCUC
rnacentral:misc_RNA from 1 species